UUUUCCUACGGGGGGCAGCAGUAGGGAAUCUUCCACAAUGGACGAAACCCUGAUGCAGCGACGCCGCGUGAGUGAGGAAGUAUUUCGGUAUGUAAAGCUCUAUCAGCAGGGAAGAAAAUGACGGUACCUGACUAAGAAGCCCCGGCUAACUACGUGCCAGCAGCCGCGGUAAUACGUAGGGGGCAAGCGUUAUCCGGAUUUACUGGGUGUAAAGGGAGCGUAGACGGAGGAGCAAGUCUGAUGUGAAAAUCCGGGGCCCAACCCCGGAACUGCAUUGAAAACUGUUAAUCUAGAGUGUCGGAGAG
rnacentral:rRNA from 1 species